GAUCAUGGCUCAGGACGAACGCUGGCGGCGUGCCUAACACAUGCAAGUCGAACGAGGUCCAAGGAAGCUUGCUUCCUGAAGACCUAGUGGCGAACGGGUGAGUAACACGUGAGAAACCUGCCUCGGAGUGGGGAAUAACUCGGGGAAACUCGAGCUAAUACCGCAUACCUUCACAUGAUCGCAUGGUCGAGUGAAGAAAGAAUUUCGCUCUGAGAGGGUCUCGCGGCCUAUCAGCUUGUUGGUGGGGUAACGGCCUACCAAGGCAACGACGGGUAGCUGGUUUGAGAGAACGAUCAGCCACACUGGGACUGAGACACGGCCCAGACUCCUACGGGAGGCAGCAGUGGGGAAUCUUGCGCAAUGGGCGAGAGCCUGACGCAGCAACGCCGCGUGCGGGAUGACGGCCUUCGUGGUUGUAAACCGCUUUCAGCAGGGACGAAAAUGACGGUACCUGCAGAAGAAGCCCCGGCUAACUACGUG
rnacentral:rRNA from 1 species